rnacentral:rRNA from 1 species
UACGUAGGGGGCAAGCGUUGUCCGGAUUUACUGGGCGUAAAGCGCGUGUAGGCGGCCGCGCAGGUCCGUCGUGAAAACUGGAGGCUCAACUUCCAGACGUCGACGGAAACCGUGUGGCUAGAGUCCGGAAGAGGAGAGUGGAAUUCCUGGUGUAGCGGUGAAAUGCGCAGAUAUCAGGAAGAACACCUAUGGCGAAGGCAGCUCUCUGGGACGGUACUGACGCUGAGACGCGAAAGCGUGGGGAGCGAACAGG